rnacentral:rRNA from 1 species
GGUGGCGGCAAGCCUAACACAUGCAAGUCGAGCGGUAACAGGAGAAAGCUUGCUUUCUUGCUGACGAGCGGCGGACGGGUGAGUAAUGUAUGGGGAUCUGCCCGAUAGAGGGGGAUAACUACUGGAAACGGUAGCUAAUACCGCAUGACGUCUACGGACCAAAGCAGGGGCUCUUCGGACCUUGCGCUAUCGGAUGAACCCAUAUGGGAUUAGCUAGUAGGUGAGGUAAUGGCUCACCUAGGCGACGAUCUCUAGCUGGUCUGAGAGGAUGAUCAGCCACACUGGGACUGAGACACGGCCCAGACUCCUACGGGAGGCAGCAGUGGGGAAUAUUGCACAAUGGGCGCAAGCCUGAUGCAGCCAUGCCGCGUGUAUGAAGAAGGCCUUAGGGUUGUAAAGUACUUUCAGCGGGGAGGAAGGUGAUAAGGUUAAUACCCUUGUCAAUUGACGUUACCCGCAGAAGAAGCACCGGCUAACUCCGUGCCAGCAGCCGCGGUAAUAA